CCCGUCUCCUCUACUCAAAAGAUUUUGGUGGCACCUGCACCUCAAGGUGCGACCAAAAUCUACGGAAACUUUUUUUGCCGGUUGGAGAAUGGAGCACUCGAGAGCAAUGGUGUCGAGGAAGGGAAGGUGAUGGGCACUCGACGGACUUCUCCUCGGUCCUCUUCGCUCGUCGCUGUUUGCUUCACGGCCUGUAAUUGAAGAACCUCCUCGCUUGUCAUCCUUUGCAGUAUAGCCCGUUCAAGGCCCUUUUCGCUCGUUGCAGCCACCUUCGCUCAACCGGUUGAAGACCACCGCCACUCCUGAGGGUUUUGGCCGCUGUUCAAGGAUUCCAGCAGAAGCAAUCGACAUCCCAUUCCACUCGUGAGGGUUUUGGCCGCUGUUCAAGGAUUCCAGCAGAAGCAAUCGACAUCUCAUUCGACUCGUGAGGGUUUUGGCCGCUGUUCAAGGAUUCUAUCGAAAGCCAUCGACAUCCCCUUUUCACAGAUUGGUUUUAUGCUUUGUUUAUGGAAACUGGCUGUUGGCGAUACGCAAAUGCACAGCUCCUUUGUUCUUUUUCUCUCUCUCAAUUCGUCAAUGCCUAACUGGAUCAUGUUUCUUUCCAGUAUGUUCCUCCCUUAGGUUUCAUCGUCUCAAAGAUGGAGAGAAAUGUCAACUUGGAACCAUAUCUGAGACGAACAUUCUGCACAGACAAACUCUGGAUGUUCCAUCCAGUAGAUUCUAAUUCAGGUUCUACACACACACCCCCAUUGGAAAUCCCCUUUCCACUUAUCCCAGAAUUGAAAUCCUGGAAUCAUUUCAACCCUGGUGCUGCCAAACAUUGUAUGAGAGAAACAUGAUUUUAAGGUGUCACCUGUACUUCUGCAUCAUGUCGCUUCAUCGCAGCAAACAGCUUGUCAGCUACUGAUCUGUGUUCGUACUCAGAUGGUCCUUCACCCAUUGCUAUAUACACAAGCAAAAGCAAUUAUAUUGCCGAUUUCUAUUCGUGUAGAUGAUCUGCUCUAUGUGUUAUAACUUGAAAUUUUAUUUAAAAAAUAAAUUACUUAUGCCUCUAA